rnacentral:lncRNA from 1 species
UGGCUUGAAUUAUGUAUGCAGUGUUCCUCAACUCUUAAAGACCUCUCCGGGGAUAGUUAAGCCGCCAAAAAUUCCAAGAUAUUCAUCUGAAAGGAUAAUAAGAAGAUUUCAUAACUCGAUGUCUUCGUUGCAAGAUGAAUGUCAUGACAACAAAACUGAUGAUUAUGAUUCAAAUGAGGCCUUGGAGGAUAGCGUUGGCGGUGCUGACAACAUUAUUGGUACUGACAGUAAUCAAAAUAUAGGAGGGAUUUUAAGGAGCAUGAGCUUCGCAGUUCACAAUCAUAACCAUGAAAGUGGAGGAAUUUCUUUUGGGGAAAUGAACGAGGAGGAAUGGGAGUUGUUCUUGGAGAGUUUUGAAGAACUUCUGCCUGAAGCAUUCGACGGAAGAAAAAACAUGGGAUUCUCGAAGCAAAGGUUGGGAACUUCUUGCGAAUUCUAAAGAAAAAGUUUGGGACUGACUAUUAAAAACAGCAUAAUAGCAUGUAUCUAGUACGAUCGAGUAAAUGUGUACAUUAUUUUGCCAAAAUUACUACGCAUAGGAAGUCGAUUAGUAGUUGUUUGGAGCAUGGAUGGAAAAGUGAUUGGCCAGUCUCCAUCCUUUCCACCAUCUCACUUACUUGUGAUCAAUUCCUUAAUUUCUUCCCCCUCUUCCCUUCUCUACUAUAUAUAUCAAAUUAAGUUGUAUGUAUACAGGUGUAUAGUUUAUGUUUCUUGAACAUGAUAUUUGUAAAGGUUUAAUGGAAAUUUCAGACUGUUAAUAGCUAGUGAUUUUAUUCAAGUAAAAUUAUUGUAAGCCAUACAUGCAUACAUACAUAUUGCGAUAACACAGGACUGUACGUGAGUCUUUUGGCUUUAGUUGUACUAGCUAGCCUAGCCUUAUAUUUAUGCGCCUCACUCGAUCCAUCCACCAACAAAUCAUGUGUUGUAACUUUCGGAAUAAUGCAACUCAAUGUUACAAGCACAAACUACAGAAAUAUAUAUUGCUACACAACUAAAUUAAAAACAAAUACUCCCUCGAUCUAUUCCUGUUACAAGUGUCCCAUUAUAUUUGAUUUUCUACGUACCUUUUUACUCCUCCUAUUAAAGUUUGCCAACCCACACAAACAUAAUUUUUGUUUUUGCACUCUAAAUUCUUCCAUUUGCAUGCGCUCCAUUGUAGAACAAAAUAAAGAAAUUUGGAACGCAAACUUGUAAUAUUUAAAGCAAAGCUUCUUUGACAGUUGACACCUAGGUAUAGGUAACAAAAUUUCAAAUUCCAAAUGGGCACUUAUUUUGAGACAAAGUACCUAUACAUUUUGAUUUUUUCAAGUUAAAAAUUAAUAAGAUUAAUUUCGAUUAAAUUUUGAGUAUUUUGUGUUAGUUUACAAUUAUUAUAUUAACUAUUAAAAUAAUUUAAAAAAUCAAAACAUAUCUCCAAUUUUGAAAUCUAAUUUUGAAACCGAACUUGGGUAAUUGUUGAGAAAUUAAAACAAUUAAAUUCUUUAAGCAUGUAUGGAAGGAUUCUUUCUUAUUUAGAACCCAUGCUGAAUUCGGUCAACCGGUGAAUUUUAAUUGGUCUCGAACCUAUCUUAUGUAUCUUACUUUUAGCAGGACAAUAAACCAAGGACUUGAUGGUAAUUAUGAUCGUACCUUAUAUAUAAAAUAGAUAAAAAUCUUGUUUACACACACAAACUGUGUGUAGACCUUUUUAUUCCUCUGCCCGUGACCCUGCCCUGACCAAAGAUGGCGGAGUUUAAGACAGAAGAAACCCUGGUCGUCACGUGCUCCAUUCCCGGCAAGACCUCAGAUUCCGGCGAAGAUCCGCCGAUCUCCACCACCAAAACCGGCGGAGAGAAGCCCGAGCAGAACGACGCCGAGUCGUUUAGACAGACAAAGAGGAGGAAGAAUUGUCCGAGUGCUCUUGGGAAGUUUGAAGUUAGCGCCAAUUCGGCGUGCAAUUCGAGCUUUUCAUUCACUUUCGACACAAAUUCCCAAGCUACUACACUUCAGUUCACUCCCAAAUUUGGUUCCUUCAAAUUAGUUGAACCACCGGCGGCAGCGGCUUGUAUACAGAUUCCGGCGAGGGAAAAGAAAGAAGAAGAGUCUCAGCUGAGGGAAGUGUUGAGUUCAGCUGAUGUGAUGAGAAAUGGCGAUUGAUUUGUUUUUAUGCGUUGAAAUAUCAUUGGUUAAAGGGAGAAAAACAGCUCAACGAGUGAAACAUAUAAUUCGUUCGAGAUGGAGCAAAAUGAGUGGCAGGGAAGGAAGGAAAAUGAUCAUCAAAUUGGCUUGUAAUUAACUUUAGCUUGUACUUGUACUAAGAUCAUCAUCAGCUUCAGAAGCUCAAUUAAUUGGGUUUUAAUUUAUGUGUUUAAAGAAUUACUAAUUAAUUAAAAUAAAACAUGCUUGCUUUUUCCUACCUACCUGUUGUAUUUUCCCUCGUACGCUGAAUAGGAAUAGCUGCUUAAUGUCUGUCAUAACAUAAAGAAGAUCAUUCAUUCAUGUCAACUUUGAUCAACAAUACUUGUUUAAACUUUUAUAUAUAUGACAUAAUUAAUUACGUGUCCAAGUGGA